GGAUGAGCCUGCGUUGGAUUAGCUAGUUGGUGGGGUAAGGGCCUACCAAGGCUACGAUCCAUAGCUGAUUUGAGAGGAUGAUCAGCCACAUUGGGACUGAGACACGGCCCAAACUCCUACGGGAGGCAGCAGUGAGGAAUAUUGGACAAUGGGGGCAACCCUGAUCCAGCAAUGCCAUGUGUGUGAAGAAGGCCUUAGGGUUGUAAAGCACUUUAGUUGGGGAAGAAAGCUUUGAGGUUAAUAGCCUUGAGGAAGGACGUUACCCAAAGAAUAAGCACCGGCUAACUCCGUGCCAGCAGCCGCGGUAAUACGGGGGGUGCAAGCGUUAAUCGGAAUUACUGGGCGUAAAGAGUCUGUAGGUGGUUUGUUAAGUCAGAUGUGAAAGCCCAGGGCUCAACCUUGGAACUGCAUUUGAUACUGGCAAACUAGAGUACGGUAGAGGAAUGGGGAAUUUCUGGUGUAGCGGUGAAAUGCGUAGAGAUCAGAAGGAACACCAAUGGCGAAGGCAACAUUCUGGACCGAUACUGACACUGAGGGACGAAAGCGUGGGGAUCAAACAGGAUUAGAUACCCUGGUAGUCCACGCUGUAAACGAUGAGUACUAGCUGUUGGAGUCGGUGUAAAGGCUCUAGUGGCGCAGCUAACGCGAUAAGUACUCCGCCUGGGGACUACGGCCGCAAGGCUAAAACUCAAAGGAAUUGACGGGGACCCGCACAAGCGGUGGAGCAUGUGGUUUAAUUCGAUGCAACGCGAAGAACCUUACCUGGUCUUGACAUCCUGCGAACUUUCUAGAGAUAGAUUGGUGCCUUCGGGAACGCAGUG
rnacentral:rRNA from 1 species